rnacentral:rRNA from 1 species
UACGGGGGGAGCUAGCGUUGUUCGGAAUUACUGGGCGUAAAGCGCGCGUAGGCGGUUAUUUAAGUUAGAGGUGAAAGCCCGGGGCUCAACCCCGGAAUUGCCUUUGAAACUGGAAAACUUGAAUCUUGGAGAGGUCAGUGGAAUUCCGAGUGUAGAGGUGAAAUUCGUAGAUAUUCGGAAGAACACCAGUGGCGAAGGCGACUGACUGGACAAGUAUUGACGCUGAGGUACGGAAGCGUGGGGAGCAAACAGG